AAUCCAUAGGUUAAUGAGGCGAACCGGGGGAACUGAAACAUCUAAGUACCCCGAGGAAAAGAAAUCAACCGAGAUUCCCCCAGUAGCGGCGAGCGAACGGGGAGGAGCCCAGAGCCUGAAUCAGCAUGUGUGUUAGUGGAAGCGUCUGGAAAGGCGCGCGAUACAGGGUGACAGCCCCGUACACAAAAGCGCAUGUGCUGUGAGCUCGAUGAGUAGGGCGGGACACGUGGUAUCCUGUCUGAAUAUGGGGGGACCAUCCUCCAAGGCUAAAUACUCCUGACUGACCGAUAGUGAACCAGUACCGUGAGGGAAAGGCGAAAAGAACCCCGGCGAGGGGAGUGAAAAAGAACCUGAAACCGUGUACGUACAAGCAGUGGGAGCACAGGUUUACCUGUGUGACUGCGUACCUUUUGUAUAAUGG
rnacentral:rRNA from 2 species